CGGCAGGCCUACACAUGCAAGUCGAGCGGCAGCGGAAAGUAGCUUGCUACUUUGCCGGCGAGCGGCGGACGGGUGAGUAAUGUCUGGGAAACUGCUGAUGGAGGGGGAUAACUACUGGAAACGGUAGCUAAUACCGCAUAACGUCGCAAGACCAAAGAGGGGGACUUUCGGGCCUCUUGCCAUCAGAUGUGCCCAGAUGGGAUUAGCUAGUAGGUGGGGUAACGGCUCACCUAGGCGACGAUCCCUAGCUGGUCUGAGAGGAUGACCAGCCACACUGGAACUGAGACACGGUCCAGACUCCUACGGGAGGCAGCAGUGGGGAAUAUUGCACAAUGGGCGCAAGCCUGAUGCAGCCAUGCCGCGUGUAUGAAGAAGGCCUUCGGGUUGUAAAGUACUUUCAGCGGGGAGGAAGGUGUUGAGGUUAAUAACCUCAGCAAUUGACGUUACCCGCAGAAGAAGCACCGGCUAACUCCGUGCCAGCAGCCGCGGUAAUACGGAGGGUGCAAGCGUUAAUCGGAAUUACUGGGCGUAAAGCGCACGCAGGCGGUCUGUCAAGUCGGAUGUGAAAUCCCCGGGCUCAACCUGGGAACUGCAUUCGAAACUGGCAGGCUAGAGUCUUGUAGAGGGGGGUAGAAUUCCAGGUGUAGCGGUGAAAUGCGUAGAGAUCUGGAGGAAUACCGGUGGCGAAGGCGGCCCCCUGGACAAAGACUGACGCUCAGGUGCGAAAGCGUGGGGAGCAAACAGGAUUAGAUACCCUGGUAGUCCACGCCGUAAACGAUGUCGACUUGGAGGUUGUGCCCUUGAGGCGUGGCUUCCGGAGCUAACGCGUUAAGUCGACCGCCUGGGGAGUACGGCCGCAAGGUUAAAACUCAAAUGAAUUGACGGGGGCCCGCACAAGCGGUGGAGCAUGUGGUUUAAUUCGAUGCAACGCGAAGAACCUUACCUACUCUUGACAUCCAGAGAACUUUCCAGAGAUGGAUUGGUGCCUUCGGGAACUCUGAGACAGGUGCUG
rnacentral:rRNA from 1 species